GAUGAAGAACGUAGCGAAAUGCGAUACUUGGUGUGAAUUGCAGAAUCCCGUGAACCAUCGAGUCUUUGAACGCAAGUUGCGCCCGAAGCCUCGGCUAAGGGCACGUCUGCCUGGGCGUCACGCAUCGCGUCUCCCCCAAACCGCCAAGGCGGAGGGGAAGGAAGAUGGCUUCCCGUGCCUCACCCGGCGCGGUUGGCCUAAAUUUGGAGCCCGCGGCACUUAGCUCUCGCGGCGAUAGGUGGUGAACAAGGCCUUGGCCGUGCAAACAACCCGCUGCGAAGCUCUAUGUCACGUGCGCUCGUCGGAACCUUUGAAGUUGCCUUCGGUGACUUAAAACCUUUGCGACCCCAGGUCAGGCGGGGCUACCCGCUGAAUUUAAGCAUAUCAAUAAGCGGAGGA
rnacentral:misc_RNA from 1 species